rnacentral:rRNA from 1 species
UACGUAGGGGGCAAGCGUUAUCCGGAUUUACUGGGUGUAAAGGGAGCGUAGACGGUAUGGCAAGUCUGAAGUGAAAGCCCAGGGCUUAACCCUGGGACUGCUUUGGAAACUGUUAGACUAGAGUGCUGGAGAGGUAAGUGGAAUUCCUAGUGUAGCGGUGAAAUGCGUAGAUAUUAGGAGGAACACCAGUGGCGAAGGCGGCUUACUGGACAGUAACUGACGUUGAGGCUCGAAAGCGUGGGGAGCAAACAGG